rnacentral:lncRNA from 1 species
GACCUCAGCGUGUGAAGUCCUUCCUAAAUUACUUGCUAAUCUUAACAAUGACCCCACUAGACAUGAUAUCAACCACACAAGAGGUCAACCUCUGAAACUCUCUUAAAGGAUUAAACACUAAAUUUAUUAUCAUAUUUAACAGUAACACCUCAUGAGUCCACAUUCAACAAGCCUUUGAAAAACAGUCCCAGAUAAUUACAAUCAAUAGUAGCUAAUUAUUAAACACUUGAAUAAGCUAAUACGACUCAAAUGCUUAAACCAAAUACUUAUACUAGAUCAUGUUGACUGUGCUAAAUCCAAGCUGAAACAAUAUCAGAUUCACAGUGUUGACUAUCGAUAGAAAAGAAAUAUUUAGUCCAGUGAAGAAGAUAAUUCCAUUCCAUGUCAACCGAUCACAAAUCCAUUCUUAUUACUUCAUCUCAUAGACAUACCUAGAAACAACAACAAACAACCACAAAUUUCAGCAAAGAAGUAGAAGUAUCAGCAAAGCUCUAAAAUAGCAGCAAACAGCAACGAUCAAACAACUUCAACCAUAUGUGACCCAG